AUGCAGCUCAGACAAUGUUCAGGACAUUCAAGCCAGCAACGGGAGAGGAUAGGUGCCCCAGACUGUGGCUACAUCACUGCUGUGUCUGGAGAGAAGAAACCAGAUGAGUUUUCACUCCCUGAUAUACCCUGGACUUGGACUGAUGUGAGGGAGGUGACUGAUUUGAUCCUCUAUGGCGGAUUCAGGGAGGGACACAUAACAGAUAAGGCACCAAGUAACAGUGCUCCCACCCUCACUGUCCUGCCCCCCGCUAGAGAGGAACUGUCCAGUACAAUAACAGCCACACUGACGUGUCUGGCCAACAAGGGCUUCCCCUCAGACUGGACCUUGAGCUGGAAAGUGGACGGGACCAGCAACAACCAGAAGACCAGUUCUAGGGUCCUGGAGAAGGAUGGCCUGUACAGCUGGAGCAGCACCCUGACUCUCACUGGCCUGGAGUGGACCAAGGCAGGAGAGGUGACCUGUGAAGCCCAGCAGAAAUCCCAGACUCCAGUCACCAAGACCCCGAGGAAGGCUGACUGUUCUGGGUAGGACUCCUCAGUCACACAACCCU